rfam:Oryza nivara chromosome 3, whole genome shotgun sequence.
CCUAGUUUUCGUACCCAACGUUUGACCAUCUGUCUUAUUUAAAAAAAAAUAAAAAAAUUAAAAAGACAAGUCACGCAUAAAAUAUUAAUCAUGUUUUAUCAUCUAACAACAAUAAUAAUACGAAUUAUUAAAAAAUUUUAUAUAAGACGAACAGUUAAAAUUGGACGCGGAAGCUCAGGGUUUACUUUUUU